rnacentral:ncRNA from 1 species
CGAUAGAGGUUGCGGAGAUUAAGAGUAUGCACAUCAUAUGGGUUCGCACCCUGUGCAGAAAGGAUGAUCCGCCGAAGGAUAGAUGGCCGCAGGCCAGCCGUCCUGGGACGCCGUAAUAAGAUGCGGCGGACUGUCACGAAAGUGGAGCGCUAUCAU